UUUCUUCCACUUCCACCUUCUGCCUCUCUCUCUCCGGCCAUAACAAAUUAUAAAUCCGAAAAAUUCUCUGUCCCUCAUCAAAUCAUCAUCAUAAUCACCUUUCUUCUUCGUAUUCGUCAUCUACCGCUUUUCUCUCUGUCAAACAUAGUGUAGAGAUCAGUCUUUUAGAUGUCCAAACCCUAAUCUCGAGUUUUAGACGGAUGGGUAAAGAUGUAAAUAUCAUUCUUGUCCUGGGCAGCUGAACCAGAAAUGGAAGAGAGGAAAUUGCUCAGCUUCGGUACAUCAAGGAAGCAGAAGAGAUUAGACUCAAGAUGAAACCUUUAGCCCUCAUCAAAAGAAUGGGUUUCAAAUGGAUAUUUUUACUGUCUUUGGCUCUGCUUCAAGCUGCAUAUUACAGGAGACUGAAAUGGUCAGUACUCAAAUCCUGUAAGCUUGUUCUCGACGUCGUGAACUAAUCCCGUGAAAAUCAGCUUUUCUCGGGAUAAGAAGCAUUAAUCUUGAAAGGGAUGAAAUGGUGAAAUCCCUUUUUUUUUUUUGUCUCCAAAGACAUGUUUCUUUAUUUAUCGUUUAGAGAGUCUCUAAUGAGAGAAAAGAAGUCAAGUUUCUUUUCUAACCUCAUAUUUUGCACAUGGUCUUAAGAUUGUAUUAUUUCCAUUUCUGUUUGUUUGCCUCCGAAGCCGUUCUCGGGUUGUCUUAAUAAAAAUAUGUGGUUUUACAA